rnacentral:rRNA from 1 species
AGCUUGGUGGUUAUAGCAUGAGUGAAACACACGAUCCCAUCCCGAACUCGAAUGUGAAACCUCAUAGC